AGAGUUUGAUCCUGGCUCAGCCUGAACGCUGGCGGCGUGGCUAAAACAUGCAAGUCGUAGGGGGUGGGGGGCAACCCCCAUCCAGUGGCGGACGGGUGAGUAACGGAUCGCUAACGUACCCCGAGCCCCGGGACAGCCGGCCGAAAGGCCGGGUAAUACCGGGCGAGACCACGGCCGGGGCAUCUCGGCGUGCUCAAAGGCGUAAGCCGGCUCGGGCGCGGGUGAUUUCGUAUCAGGUAGUUGGUGCGGGUAACGGCCCACCAAGCCGACGACGCGUAGCUGGUCUGAGAGGACGGCCAGCCACAUCGGGACUGAGACACUGCCCGGACUCCUACGGGGGGCUGCAGUAACGAAUCUUCCGCAAUGCGCGAAAGCGUGACGGAGCGACGCCGCGUAGAGGUUAAGUCCUUCGGGAUGUAAACUCCUGUCAGGGGCUACCAAGUUCUGAGGAGCCACAGAGGAAGGCACGGCUAACUCUGUGCCAGCAGCCGCGGUAAUACAGAGGUGCCGAGCGUUAGGCGGAAUCACUGGGCUUAAAGCGCGUGUAGGCGGGUCGCUAAGUGUCCGCGUGAAAUCCCACGGCUCAACCGUGGAACGGCCGGGCAGACUGGCGACCUUGACGCACCUAGGGGGCGAGCGGAACGAACGGUGGAGCGGUGAAAUGCAUA
rnacentral:rRNA from 1 species